GUAGCAAAUCGUUCUAUCGCUCUUUCCCAUUUAGAUGGGAAGGGGAGGAAAGUCCGGACAACACAGGGUGCCAUACUUCCGAAAGGGAAGAUGUCCGUGAGGGCAUAGAAGCGGAGAAGAAAAUAACCGGCCUGGUCUUACCGGGUCAAGGGUGAGAAGGUGAGGUAAGAGCUCACCAGUACUGAUGGUGACAUUAGUAGCUGUCCGCCUUAUGGGUUGCAAGAUCAAAUAUAUCCCGAUUUUCCGUGUAUAUCGCGGAAUACAGGGUGACCCGCCAUGGUUUUCAUUAUGAAAAGUCGGGAGGGGUAGAUCGCUAAAUCCCUGGAGCAAUUCAGGGAUCAGAUUAAUGAUAGAAAUUCCGUCUUUGGCGGGAUACAGAAUCCGGCUUACAGAUUUGCUACUUUU
rnacentral:RNase_P_RNA from 1 species